rnacentral:lncRNA from 1 species
GAAUCACAUAUGUUUGUACCCUUGAAUACAACAACAACAACAACCCGGUAUAAUCCCACAUAGUGGGGUCUGGGGAAGGUAGAAUGUACGCAGACCUUAACUCUACCCUUGGGUAGAGAGGCUGUUUCCGAAUACACCAUCGGCAUCCUUCCCUCCAAGAACUUCCCACCUUGCUCUUGGGGAGACUCGAACUCACAACCUCUCGGUUGGAAGUGGAGGUUGCUUACCAUCAGAGCAACCCCUCUUAUCAUGUUUGUACCCUUGAAUGAUACCAUCAUAUUAUAUUCAUUGUCGUACUGCUUCUCAUGGAGUAUUAUUACAUCUUAUUUGGGUUCAAGAUUGAAUGAUAGAUUGUAGACCCUUGCUUUCAUUUAUGAAAAAGUGAGUUCUGUUUCCUUUGACCUGAAAAGUUUUCACUACUUGGUCACUCAAGGUUUCUAGAGCUGAAUCUUUUUCGCUAGUUGUCUCCUACACUUUUGAGAAUAUAUAACAGUAGCCUGCAAUUUCUUUUUCUUUAUUCCGUGAUUUUUAUUACUUCAACUUUGUGAUACAAAUUGUAUAUCUGUCGAUAGUUCUAUCCCCCCCCCCCCCCCCCNNNNNNNNNNNNNNNNNNNNNNNNNNNNNNNNNNNNNNNNNNNNNNNNNNNNNNNNNNNNNNNNNNNNNNNNNNNNNNNNNNNNNNNNNCGAUUCGGUUGUAAUGUUUGCUUUUCACAGGAAAGAGUAAUAUAUUCCUUAACUGGAAAACAAGGCACCAGAUAAUUUUAGGGAUCGCAAGAGGGUUACAGUAUCUUCAUGAGGAUUCACACAUUAGAAUUGUCCAUAGGGACAUCAAAGCCAGCAAUAUUCUGCUGGAUGACAAAUUCCAACCAAGAAUUGGAGAUUUUGGCCUAGCCAGAUUUUUCCCUGAAGAUCAAGCAUAUCUCAGCACUGCAUUUGCUGGAACCUUGUACGUGUUUUCUCGCUUCAGUAGUCUAUUAUGCUAACUCAAAAUAACACCUUUAACAUAGAAGCUAUUUGGAAAAAAGUAUUUUGUCUAGCAUCAGUAGUCUAUUAUGCUAACUCAAAAUAACACCUUUAACAUAGAAGCUAUUUGGAAAAAAGUAUUUUUUGGGUGUGUUUGAUACGACUAAGGAACUUUCAUGAUUAAUCAUUUCCCAUUGCGUGGUUUUAUAUUGUUAGAUAUGUUCUCCUCAGAAAUUUUUUAACAAGGACCUCAAUUCUUACAGCCUACCACUUUUUUCCUACCAAUAUGUAAGCAAUAUUAUCAGAAUUUGCUACUUACAACUAUUACCAACACUCUUCCAAUAUUCCCCAUCACCACCCUCUUGUCUUCUCUGCUACCAUAUGCGGCCUACAAUGCCCAUCUAAAUACCAAAACAACUACCCAGUAUAGUCCCACAAAGUGGGGUCUGGGGAGGGUAAUAUGUAGACGAGCAUUACCCCUACCGAAAGAGCAGAGAGGCUGUUUCCAAUGCCCAUCUAAAUACCAUGAAAAUGACUUAAUGAGUAGUUUCCCUGAGUAAAACAUAUUAUUUUCGCUGGAAUUUGUCAAUGACAGUAGCUCUAAGAAGGAAAUGAUGUUGUGCUUUGCAAUAGUAUUGGUCAGGUGUUUAAGUCACAGGCUGAAGGAUUUACAAUGUUCAUAAUAAUUGCAAUUUACGUUGUCAUUUCUCUCUCUAUAUAUAUAUAUAGACAAGAGGGGUUGCUCUGAUGUAAGCAACCCCCACUUCCAACCGAGAGGUUGUGAGUUCGAGUCUCCCCAAGAGCAAAGUGGGAAGUUCUUGGAGGGAAGGAUGUCGGGGGNNNNNNNNNNNNCCCACUUCCAACCGAGAGGUUGUGAGUUCGAGUCUCCCCAAGAGCAAGGUGGGAAGUUCUUGGAGGGAAGGAUGCCGCGGGUCUAUUUGGAAACAGCCUUUCUACCCAAGGGUAGGGGUAAGGUCUCCGUACAUACUACCCUCUUCGGAGAAUUGAAUUUAGCAGUUCCAGCUAUAAGUUUGAUAUUAUUAUACAUGAAGAAUGGAGAAUUUAUUUUGAGAAAUAUUCUGACAAGGUUAUGAAUGUUGCUAUAUACUAUAUUGUCCAGAAAAUGGUACUUUUCAUUUCAUGAACACUUUAAGCUUUAAUUUAUAGAUAUCCAUCAACAAUUUUUAUUUUAAGAAUUGGGUGAUUUUAUGUAAUUUUUGGUAUUUUGUCUGUGCAGAGGUUAUACAGCUCCUGAAUAUGCCAUUAGAGGAGAACUGACUGAAAAGGCUGAUAUAUACAGUUUUGGUGUUCUUGUGCUAGAAAUUAUCAGUUGCCGGAAGAAUACAGAUCUUUCUUUGCCUUCAGAAAUGCAAUAUCUCCCCGAAUAUGUAGGCUGUCUAAAUUUAACUUACGUUUCGUUAUCUCUUGACGAAACAAAAAAGGUUGUGUGUUUGACAUUGAUCGUUCAAGUGCAGGCAUGGAAGCUAUACGAAAGGUCAAGAUUGAUUGAUCUAGUUGAUCCCAAGAUGCGGGAAGAUGGAAUUGUGGAAAAGGAUGUCAUGCAAACAAUAUAUGUGGCUUUCUUAUGUCUUCAGCCAGAUGCAAAUUUAAGACCACCAAUGUCUGAGAUUGUUGCAAUGUUGAUACGCGAUGUUGCAGUAGUUGAAACACCAAUUAGGCCAGCUUUCUUAGAUCGAAAGAGAAGGAACGACAAGAAGCUUUCUUGGGAUAUUAUAACAGAUGGUUUCUCUUCUCCUCUGCAGAGUGAUUCACCUUCAAAGUAAGGGUGCUGUACGUCUUCCACUGGAAGCUAAAUCAUUGAAUAUGGUUGAUCCUGAUUCUUUUUAUCUUUUGUGUGUUGUCAAUAGUAUUUGUACAUAUAUAUGUAGAAAAGAAUACAGCCAAGGUUGCUUUUUCUAAUUUCUGCAGGGAUGAGGAAUUAUAGCUCGAGUGUAUUAGUUAACAUGAUUGCAAAGUGUUUUUGGUGAUUGAAACUGCAUCGUGAAUGUUAUUUCUUGAUGAAGAAGGUUCACUUUGUUUCAGAAGAAUAAGAACAAGGAAAGGAAUAACGUCUAGUUAAAAUAAGGAGAGAAAGGGAAAAGGAAUAUCAUUUUUCUAUUUUUGGUUCAAUCAAAAUAGUAAAAGGAAAGGAAUAAGAUGUCAUUUUACAGAAAUGAUAUUGUUUGGCGGCCUAUUGCCGGGCGUAGUUAUAAUUUAGCUAAUUACAUUUUGUAGCUAUUAAUUGUUUGCAAUGGGAUGUAUGUCGUGGUAUUCAAUUCAGUUGCAUAUAUUGUAUUAAAUUUAGAUAUAUUCGUUCUUAUAUAUUUUACAUUGUAUUCAUGUUUAUUGUGUUGAAUUCAGUUGUAUUUAAACAACAAAAAAUCAAGAAAUAUGGUGUAUGUCGCUCUAUUCAAUUCGGUUGUAUAUAGUGGAGAACAAAGUUCACCAGAGAUGGCGCCUUUUGGCCAAGCCAAAUACUAUAUAUAUUGUAUUAAAAUUAAAAAUGGAGACGAACAAAAAUCCGGCCAGAUUGAGAAUACAAUAUCACAUUGUAUCUACCAAAAUCUGGUCAGACGAAUACACUCAGAUGUGAGAUAGAAAGAAGGAGAAGAACCCAUGAUUUCCGACAUUACCUUUAGCUCCAGAUCUAGUGACGCCCCCGAUCUUCCCCUCCACUGUAUUUGCCAUCGAUAAUGAACUCAUUGCGACUUUGUGAUUUUCAUGUCUGAAUUUGAGGGUGGAGAUGAAAGAAGGGAGCGAGAGACGGUUGGAUCUGACGGCGGAGAUGAUAGAGAAGGGGGGGGGNNNN